UACAGAGGCCCCAAGCGUUAGGCGGAAUCACUGGGCUUAAAGCGUGUGUAGGCGGACGCCUAAGUGUCUUGUGAAAUCCCACGGCUCACCCGUGGAACUGCUGGGCAUACUGGGCGUCUUGGGCCAACUAGGGGCAGCCGGAACAAGCGGUGGAGCGGUGAAAUGCGUAGAUAUCGCUUGGAACGCCGAAGGUGAAAACAGGCUGCUGGGGUUGUGCCGACGCUGAGACAUGAAAGCCAGGGGAGCAAACGGG
rnacentral:rRNA from 1 species